rnacentral:rRNA from 1 species
UACGUAGGUGGCAAGCGUUGUCCGGAUUUACUGGGCGUAAAGCGCGUGUAGGCGGCUUGUUUAGUCUGUCGUGAAAUCUCCCGGCUUAACCGGGAGGGGUCGACGGAUACUGGCAGGCUUGAGGGGAGCAGAGGAAGGUGGAAUUCCCGGUGUAGUGGUGAAAUGCGUAGAUAUCGGGAGGAACACCAGUGGCGAAGGCGACUACCUGGCCUGUUCUUGACGCUGAGGCGCGAAAGCUAGGGGAGCAAACGGG